rnacentral:rRNA from 1 species
UACAUGUGGGGCAAGCGUUGUUCGGAAUUACUGGGCAUAAAGGGUGCGUAGGCGGCUUGAUAAGUCAGUGGUGAAAUCGUCCGGCCCAACCGGACACGUGCCAAUGAUACUGUCGAGCUUGAGUGCGUGAGGGGUGGGGGGAACGAGCAGUGUAGCGGUGAAAUGCGUAGAUAUUGCUCGGAAGGCCAAAGCCGAAGGGACCCCACUGGUACGCAACUGACGCUGAGGCGCGAAAGCUAGGGGAGCAAACGGG